GACGAACGCUGGCGGCGUGCUUAACACAUGCAAGUCGAACGCUGAAGCCCUUCGGGGUGGAUGAGUGGCGAACGGGUGAGUAACACGUGGGUAAUCUGCCCUGCACUCUGGGAUAAGCCUUGGAAACGGGGUCUAAUACCGGAUAGGACACAUCGCCGCAUGGUGUGUGUGUGGAAAGUUCCGGCGGUGCAGGUUGAGCCCGCGGCCUAUCAGCUGGUUGGUGGGGUGAUGGCCUACCAAGGCGACGACGGGUAGCCGGCCUGAGAGGGUGACCGGCCACACUGGGACUGAGACACGGCCCAGACUCCUACGGGAGGCAGCAGUGGGGAAUCUUGCGCAAUGGGCGAAAGCCUGACGCAGCAACGCCGCGUGGGGGAUGACGGCCUUCGGGUUGUAAACCUCUUUCGACCGGGACGAAGGAUUCGUUUGACGGUACCGGUAGAAGAAGCACCGGCUAACUACGUGCCAGCCGCCGCCGUAA
rnacentral:rRNA from 1 species